rnacentral:rRNA from 1 species
UACGGAGGGUGCAAGCAUUAAUCGGAAUUACUGGGCGUAAAGGGCGCGUAGGCGGGUUUGUAAGUCAGAUGUGAAAUUCCGGACCUCAAUUUCGGGACUGCAUUUGAAACUGUAAAUCUAAGAGGGUAGGCGGAGAAAACGGAAUUCCACAUGUAGCGGUGAAAUGCGUAGAUAUGUGGAAGAACACCUGUGGCGAAAGCGGUUUUCUAGCUUACACCUGACGCUGAGGCGCGAGAGCAAGGGGAGCAAACAGG